rnacentral:rRNA from 1 species
UAGGGAAUAUUGGUCAAUGGAUGGAAGUCUGAACCAGCCAUGCCGCGUGCAGGAAGAAGGCCUUCUGGGUUGUAAACUGCUUUUGCCAGGGGCUAAAAAGCUCAUGCGUGAGAAAUUGAAAGUACCUGGUGAAUAAGCCACGGCUAACUACGUGCCAGCAGCCGCGGUAAUACGUAGGUGGCAAGCGUUGUCCGGAUUUAUUGGGUUUAAAGGGUGCGUAGGCGGCUUUGUAAGUCAGUGGUGAAAUAUGGCAGCUCAACUGUCAGGGUGCCAUUGAUACUGCGGAGCUUGAGUACAGAUGAGGUAGGCGGAAUUGACGGUGUAGCGGUGAAAUGCUUAGAUAUCGUCAAGAACACCGAUAGCGAAGGCAGCUUACUGGGCUGUAACUGACGCUGAGGCACGAAAGUGUGGGGAUCAAACAGG